AACAUUUGGCGCCGUAUGUGGGGAACAGUGAACUUUUGAUUCCCGGAUCACGUGGAUUGAUUGCAUAAUGCUAUGAUUGGAACGGAUUUUGGUUGAGAAAAAUGGAUUCCAUAUUGAAAUCAGUGGCUACAAUGGAUGAGGGAAGGCACCCGAUCGUGAAAAGUGACGACGACAGAGAAAACGAUGAUGGCAGUAGAGACCCAAGCUUGCGGGAUCAAAAAGAGGAAGAUUGCAGAAUCCUCGUCGAGUCAGUGGAGUCGCAUCCAGAUUUGGUUUCGGAUCGCCAACAUCACAACACUGAUCCAGCGUUUGGCCUUGAUGAUUCAAGCCGUGAAUUUUCCGAGUGAAAGGUCGAGGUCGAAAGAAGAGAAGGAAUAGAGUCCAGAUCGAGGAAGUGCAAACGCGUGAGGAGCAAAACCAAUCCCAGGACGUUUUGCUUCGGCGACGGAAUUCUGGCGAGCGUGUUUUACUCCGGCGACGGAAUUCUGACGAGCACGUUUUCUCUGGCGAGCGCGUUUUGCUCUGGCGAGCACGUUUUGUGUUGGCGGUUGAAGUUCGGCGAGCAAGUGUCGCCGGCGUGGAAGUUUGGCGGGAGGAUCCAUUUGAACAUGAACCUGGUUUCUGGCGGUGGCGAACAGGACACGUGAAAUUAAGAAAAUAAGAACAACUCCAAACACCACCUCCAUAGCCAUAUAAUUUUCUUUUCCAUUUGUUGUAUUUCUUGAUUUUUACUGUUUAGAAGCUGAUAUUCUGUUCACCAUGUUUGAUUCAGAGCAAGGAAAAACUUGAUAGAUCAAGGAGAAGGAGUGGGUGAACUAGGAUACCAGCUGUUCGAUGAAACGCUUCAGGGAGACGUUGCUUCGUCGAACACCACAAUUGCGCCCAUCAACCCCGUCAUCACGCAUCAGGGAAGUGGGACUCCUUUCCACAGGUUUUGUGUACUGGUUUCGCACAUCUGGAUUUCUAUCUUUCACAUGAAUAGGGUAUGAUUUAUGAGUUUGGGCUGAAAUUGUGGUAUGGAUUGGCAUGCUUUCACUGCUCUGAAUUGUUUAACACUCCAUCUUUGGAAUGUGGUUGAAUAGAGGCUGGUAGGAUUAAUAUUUUCCAUGUUAAAAGAGGGUUGUUUCUGAGUUGUUUCAUUAUUCAUUUUUUAAACUGUGCAUUAUUGAGAGUUAACCUUGUAGAUAAUGAUAUAUUUGGUAAUUAUAUGUAUGCUUUAUCAAACAUUUACCACCGCUGACAGUGUGAUCCCAUUAGUUAGCUUGCCUAUAACCCAUAGCAUGAGGAUACUGGAUGUAGAUGUUCAAUUUCAAUGUGUCAAAAAAUAAUAAUACCUUUUUUCAUAUAAUAUGUAUCUGUCUACCUGUUAUACCCUCUCAUGAUGUGUAGAAAUGUCAUUAGAAAAUUUCCAUGCAACUUUGAGCAACAAAAGUCUUAGUGGUUGGCACAUAAAAGAGUAGGCUGAGGUAAAGUAUAAUUUGGCUAUGAAGUAUAAGAAGUGAUGCUCAAUAUCUUCUUUGUUGGUUGUUGCUCAAUAGGAAAGAUUGUAAGAAAAUUCAUGUGAGGAAUGUCGGUUUGUAAUAAAUGUGAUAUGUUCAUCAGCAUUAGCAUCCAUAAUUACAGUUUUCUGAUGAUGUGUAUAUAUUGUGCCAACUUCCUGAUGAGAAGAAGACAAAGAAAAUCAACAUAGAACUCUGAUGCCAAAUUUGUAGAAGUAUGUGAUGACAUAUUGAGAGAUAUAAUGCAGAUAAGUAUAUGAAAUUGAAGCUUAAUUUCCUUUAUUCAUGAAAAUUUAGGAUAAGUUUUACAAAAAAAACAAAAUGAACAGUUGAUAGCCUUUGUAACAAAACAACUUUAGUAAAGAAACUCUCUUGAGCUGAAGUUUUAAGUUUUUGCAUUAGUAAUAUGCAAAAUAUAAUAUUUUCUAUAUGCAGCAUAUUCCAUAGGAAGAAGAAACAUUGGAUUCGUUCAGAAAAUUUUACUCUUAAGUAUAUAUUAUACCUAAAUAUAAACAUUUUUAACUUGCAAUGCAUGCAUGCAUGAGCACACACUCAUGUUGAUGCAAAACAUCCAGAAAAGUCAGAGUUUAUAAUUAAAAGCAUCACUAUGAUAUUUAGCUAAAUGUCACUAGGAUCCAACAAACAUUCGUUAUGAAUUUCUUUUUAGAGAAGAUGAGAUAUGACUAGUUGUAGGAAAUCUUUCUCAUGUUGAAAACCACAUGACCUUAUGGCUUUGAGCUCAAGAUUUUAUAUAUUGUAAUGAACCAAGAGAAAAAUAAACAACAAAAGAACUAUGCAAUGCUAAAGCUGGACUUGAUGUAUGUGAUUUAUGUGAUGGGUGAUAUGCUAGAAGUAACAGAAGAAAAAUUGUAGCAUUUGUUGGUGGACUUGAUUUAUGUGAUGGGCGAUAUGAUACUCCUCACCAUCCUCUCUUUAGGACAUUGCAGACGCUGCAUAAGGAUGACUAUCACAACCCUACUUUCACGGGAAAUGCUUGAAGGAAAAGCAGAAUAGGAAGGAGCUUCUUUAAACUACCUUGGCGAGAUCCAGUCAAAACAUGAGAGCUAGGAAUCUAUUUGUGGAACUGAUACAACGUAUUGAUUAAACAAUUGGAAGACAAAAUGAUUAUGUGCUUUUUGUGUUUAAUGAAUGCCACAUGCCUCUUUUGAAAUGCAUCACUUUGAAAAACUCUUUUGAAGGUUAUGUGACAGGAUUGCGACGAUUCUUCAGUGGGAAAAAAUCUCUGAAGGUGGCCAUCCCAACACGACCUUGAUGUCUGGGGAUCGCUCCGGAAAGACCGACUGCAAUCGUCGUCACCCGCUGGCAACGCGUGCGAAUAAGCUUCUUAUCCAACAAAGCCUCCCCGAAAUAAGGGUCGAGCAUCUAUGACUAGGCAAAGCCUUGGGCACCCUAAAUGGCCAUUGGGACCCGAGCAUCUUGACCUCGAGCGGCCAAAACCAUCAUCAUUUUAUUUUGGCGAGGUCGCACCUUUUUUAGGUAUGGGGGAAAGCCCUCGUCACUUGGCGAGGCCACACCUGAUCUUACGGGAGAAGGUGUGAGGUGAAGCCCUUGUCACUUGGCGAGGCCACACUAUGAUCUUACGGGAUAAAGUGUGAGGCAAAGCCCUCGUCACUUGGCGAGGCCGCACCUGAUCUUACGAGAGAAGCGUGUGAACGAAGCCCUCGUCAUCUACUUGGCGAGGCGAAGCCCUCGUCAUCUUCUUGGCGAGACCACACAAUGAUCUUACGGGAAAAGCGUGUGAACAAAGCCUCAGAUCAAACACCGAGCAAAAGUCCUAGUCAGACUCAGCUGGUCUACUCGGACCUAGCCCGGUAUCACCGGAUGGGUAGCGACCUACCGCUAAAGGGUGGCGACCUCACGCUAAAACGGUGGCGACCCAACGCAAUUUCAGUUUCAUUAACUACUUGCCAAUGAGAGAAAUGAUGAAAUUAGAUUGUGAUUAUGAUUCUUGAGGCACUGAUGGUUAUUUGUAGUUGAGAAAUUUUAUAAACAGGAAACAGGUCAGACGGGAUGGCAACGACAAUGCGGCGAGUGGGGUCACUCCUAGCCCUUGAGACUUGGACAUGGAGCUUGGUCACAUUGCAGACUUGUGGACUGGGCGAGAGAGUGCAUGCGUAUUGGGCGGAUUUUCUCCUGGAGACGAUGCGGCGACGACUUCAGCUUGAAGACACACAGCGCUCUCAUGCUAAGGGCGCUAUGAGGAGAGGUUGGCGGGAGACCAUGUCACCCAUGUCACCCAGCGAGCGAGCUUCUGUUCAGCGGGUCACCUCACAUGUGGCGGGCCACCAUGACUCCUUCAUCCUAUAGACGUUUGUACAACAUUUUUCUAGUUCCCGGGUCACUUGGAGGAUCAUGUACUUAUGUAUUUCCUUGCGCUAUUUGGCAGUUUGUGUUUCAUUUACGCCAUGUUGGCGACCUACGCUUUUUAUAUAGGCUUUGUUGAUCCCACCGAGUGGCGUAGUUAGGUGAUCUCUUGGGCGGGGAAGCUAUUGCAACUAGAAGCUUGGGAAUAGUUCCUGCGCGUUGGUCGAAACCGCCAGCCGAGGAACGCCGUACCAAGUGGAAAGUAGCAACGGGCGACCCGCUAGAAGGAUCACAAGGGAACGGAGAUUGGCGGUCACAUCUUUAAAGACACACUUAGCUCUCAUGCUUCGAGCUCGGUGUCUUGUGGACUUGUGGACUGGGCGAGCCCCAGGAAGGCCACGCCCAGGGGUGCCCAUCCCUUGGCGUUCGCCUAGAUCUUGAGUUGGGUUUUCCCCGCAAGGCCCAACCGGCCCAUUAGAGUUAGUUACACAUCCAGGCCCAAGCCCCAACCUAUAAAUAGGGGGCAGUUACCAAUUGUAAGAGACUCUUAACUCAUUUGAGAAAUAACAAACUUGAAAUUCAGUUACAUUCUCUCUCUAAGCGGUUACACGCUAUCUCUAGAUUCUUUCUCUCAUUGCAAUCUUUUCACUCUAGGGGCUAUACCCUAACUCUAUGUUCUUGGAUGGAACAAAAAAUGUGGCCAUUACUUUAUUUGUGGGUGAGUUCAUUUCAAAUGUCUCUUGCCUUUUAUUAUUCUUUGGUCGUUUUCAAGGUAUGACCACAAGUUUAGGUACAUGUAUAAGGUUAUGUUUUACUCUCCUUAAUUGAUGAACCUUAUAGAAUUUCAUUUGGAGAACUAAUCCUGGAUGCACCUAAUAUGCGUACCAGUUACGUUUUAAUUUGUAAAAAGAGGUGUUAGCUAGUUAUUUAUAUGGUAUAUCUACUAUUUACAGAGUGAAAUGCUAUAUAUGGAUGAGGAAGCUUAUGGAUAGAUGUGUGCGAUUUUCUGUUUUUGGGCAAAUGAGAUAAAUUUGUAACAUUGUCGUUUGAUUUGGUAUUGAAUGAUUAUAUGUUGUAUAUAGGUACAAAGGUUUCCAUGACUAUGCUAAACUGAAAGGUGUAGAUGUUGGUCCACCAGUUGGAUUUGAUGCUCUUGUUGAUGGGGCAGUGCUACAGGUUCUGGACUAUCAAGCUCUGCGGCGUUUGUUUGUUCUUCUACAAUUGCUAUUAUGGCUGCUUUUGAUGUGAACUUCCCAAAGGUGAUUUCAACUGGAAUAUGUUUAACAGUUUGUGCUUUGAGGGGCAAAUUCAGUUCAGCUCUUGGUGAAAUUUUGCAUGUUUAAGUUGGAAAUAUAGGGUAGAUUUGGGAUUUCAUAUAAUUGAUGGUAGAUUUCAAAACUUGGCAGUUCAGGCUUUAGUACAUUUCGGAAGCAGAGCCCUGCCUAAACUCCCAAUUUCAUUUCCUAUAUGAUUGAGCUCUUUUAAGACAGUUGAGGAUAUACAGGAUAAAGAGGCAGAUUGACAAUUCUUUCCGAUAAUUAGUGGGAUUGUCAUACCUUCAAGUGAGCAUAAAUGGCUCUGGAGCUGGAGCUUCAGUUCCCAAUUCAGCUUUCUUUGGCAGCAGCUAGAAGAAGGUUACCUCAAGACUCCCCAACACCAGGGUUUCCCUUGGAAGCUUCAAAGUGAAGGUAUGAAAAACGGUAGAAAGGGGGGGAGGUUGAAUAACGUUUUCAGAAUAAAACUUCCACCUUAAGAUUUUGGCAAAUAUUUCGAGAACAAAUAAAGUGCUUGAGAUAAGAGAUAGAAAAGCACACAAGGAUUUUAUCCUAGUUCACUUGAUGAAUCACUCAAGUUAGUCCAGUCCACCCGUUAAGGUGAUUUCUUCCUUCUUAGAAUGAAGGCAAUCCACUAAUCAGAUAAUUGUUACAACUGCACUUGAAACCAACAAGUGACUAACAAUACACUGACUUAGCUCACACUAAGAUUCACUCUCUUAGUCUUCUCUAGGAUCCGAUCAACCUUGAUCUCCUAAAGGUAAACUAAACAACUGUUUAAGAAAGAUUGCUUACAAAGAAAUUGCUUCUAAAAAGCUUGUAGUAAACACAAUGAAUUCAAAGAUGAAAGAAUGCUUAGAAGGUUUGAAUAUAGCUUGCGCGUAUAAGAUUCUUCCAACCGCAUCUUUCAAUCUUCAGCCUCUAUUUAUACUCCAAGGAUUAGGGUUUGAACAUUGCAUGAGAAUGCUACCGUUGGAGGGCAGUUCUGGAAUUUACAGCUUCUGCUGUGGCUGAGAAUGUUAGGUUAGGUCGUCAGGAUAAUACAUUUGUUUUUGUACUUUGGAUAGUGACUUGACCUUUAACCUAGUAGACUUCUGAUCAGAAGAAAGCUUCGUGUUGGAACUUGUGAAGCUUGUUGAUCAGAGUCAGAGGGAAGCAUGGAUCCUCUGACCGUUGUAUCUUCUGAUUCUGAACUCAGAUGAGAAGUACUUGGUCUUCAGAGCCAUUUUGCUUCUGGACUUCAGAGUCUUCACUUUUCAGCUUCUGGAUCUUCAGAGUCUUCUACACCAUCAGAACAUCUGAACCUUCAGAGUGUCUGGGUUGUCAGAACGUCUGGAUCUUCAGAACUUCAAGUGACUGAGUCCAUAUCAGAGCUUGAUUUACUUCAGAACUUCUGAAGCUUUUCUACUGUUCAGAUUGAACAAAGAGAUUGCGAAAGCGUUGCUUGGGUCACUCUAUAAGCACAGUGCUUCUGAUUUGUGUGAGAUUGGAUUAAGGUCAGAGCCUGUAAGAGCACACUCAGAAAAACACGUUAGAGUACCACAAUUGUUCAUACUAAAAUAUUAACUUGUAAUCAUCAAAACAUAAAGUUGUACUACACGAUCAAAACUUGAUCUUACACAAAGUAGUUGUUGCAGAACAAACAGAAUGACAAAGACAAAUAGAUAAUCAUAUCUGCAGUAAGGGAUUGUGCUGCUAAUGUGGAUCUCUAGCCACCCGUUUUCAAUGGGCACCUUAUAGAAUAUUGGAAAUAGUUAAUCAAGUUCAAGUAAAAGAAAUAUCAUGCUAAAAUGAAUGGACCUUCUCUUGGCAGAGUUUGAUAAGAUCAAUAAGAAGUAAGUUCAGCUUCCUAGAUCUUGACUUAUUGUUCUGGUUAGUUAUGGCAUAUACAAACACCAUGACAUUGGUUUUAUGCUAUCUUAUUUUUAUAUGUAGGUUGCGGAUAAGAAAUUUCAUGAAUUUUGUUUUAUACGGGAAAUAUGUGCCGAUUACGGUUUCCAAAUUUGUAUGAUUUGAUUUUCAAUCUAUUGCUAGUUAAUUUUUUCCUCACAUUUUGCUUGCUAUAUGUCAAUUUUUGUUUGAAUGUCUGAGGUUAUGCUACUAAUUCUGCACAAGGGGUGGGAGAAGUGAGCUUUUGUAUUUUUUUUUCUUCCUAUGAGAUCAUGAAUAAGUAAGCUAUGAAAUUUGUUUUCCAUGUACUGAGGAUAAUUUUGGCAGUUGCAGAAUGAAAUGUUCUCCUUGAAUCUCAUUUUUAGUAACUCUACAUAUUAUGAAGCGGAUUGAAAUUCCUGAGAAUGAUUUGUAGGAUAAAUGCAGGAAAGCAAACAGGAGCUGCGCAAAAGGAAGGGAAGAGAAGCAAGAUUCUAAGGUGGCUGUGACUUCUUUUCAAUCUUUACUUGUAGACUCAAUCAAAUAUCUUUUGGUAUUUCUUUUUUUAUGCAGUAUUGUUACUCUUAUCAAGAGCAAUUUUUUGUUUCCUCCAUUUUUUGUUUUCUUAUCAAGAGCAAUAGAGCUUUAUUAAUGCAUAUUAUGUGCAUUUAAAUAUUAAUAUUUGUAGGAUGUUUAGAAAACCUCUUCAAAUAGUUAAUAAGUAAACUCCACAAUUAAAUGAGGUUAAAAAUGCCCUUAGAAUAAACUUUGGUAGCCAAGGGAGGUCUAAAACUGUAAAUAAUCUCUUGCAUUUAAGGGAGGUUGAAAACUCUUGUUAAAAAAGCUUGCGGAUAAGGGAGGUUUGAAACUCCCACUAAAAAC